rnacentral:rRNA from 1 species
GAUGAACGCUGGCGGCGUGCCUAAUACAUGCAAGUCGAGCGAACAGACGAGGAGCUUGCUCCUCUGACGUUAGCGGCGGACGGGUGAGUAACACGUGGAUAACCUACCUAUAAGACUGGGAUAACUUCGGGAAACCGGAGCUAAUACCGGAUAAUAUAUUGAACCGCAUGGUUCAAUAGUGAAAGACGGUUUUGCUGUCACUGAUAGAUGGAUCCGCGCCGCAUUAGCUAGUUGGUAAGGUAACGGCUUACCAAGGCAACGAUGCGUAGCCGACCUGAGAGGGUGAUCGGCCACACUGGAACUGAGACACGGUCCAGACUCCUACGGGAGGCAGCAGUAGGGAAUCUUCCGCAAUGGGCGAAAGCCUGACGGAGCAACGCAGCGUGAGUGAUGAAGGUCUUCGGAUCGUAAAACUCUGUUAUUAGGGAAGAACAAAUGUGUAAGUAACUAUGCACGUCUUGACGGUACCUAAUCAGAAAGCCACGGCUAACUACGUG